rnacentral:lncRNA from 1 species
UAAAAUGAAUUGGUAGCUAGAUAAAUGGUUGUUCCUUCCUGGUCUUUGUGGCCUGUCCCACUUUCCUCAAACAGGAUUUUUCAGACAGCUGCUGUUGCUGCAUACUGAGUGAUUUAAUCUUUUCCAGGAGAUAUUUGCUUCAGGUGUUUUCCAAACGUACACACAUGAGCUAGGAGGAGGACAUGCAGACUUUUGCUCCUUGGAGCACAUUUCAGAGUCCACCCGGGUACAGCUCUGCACAGGGGACCCACUCCACUCCUGAACUCAGCGUAAUUAGAAGCAAGCUCAUAAGGGCUUUGGAAUGGAAAGGAGAAAUUCAAGAUUUCCCAAAGUGUCCAUCACAAGUGUGAAUUACUUCUGUUGAUCCUUAAUGGAACUGAAGUUCUUAAAAAUGAAUCACAUCGAAAAAGUAUCCCUAUCAAGAUAUGACAAGGGCUCAAGGGAUAAAUGGAAAAUUCAAGCAGAAAACGUGAUGAGUUAGUCCUGAAUCCCUUCAGGCUGCCAUGGAAGUGAGGAAGCUGAUGGAUCCUGGUGCAGCAACAUCUCACCUCUUCUCACAGCUCUGCACAGAGCCAGUGGCCAUAUGAAUGUGGGAGUUCCUACCCACUUUCCAAGCAGAGGCUGUUACCAGUACAGUAACAAGAAGGUUUUUGAAAGCAUUUUGACAACCCUAAAGGAUUAGGAUCUUCUACAUCUUGCAAUUCAAACUGUGAUAAAAACAAAACCCAAACACUUAACAGCAGAGCAUCUGUUGUACAAGGAUGUACUUCAUGGACACCGAAAUUCUGUGAUUCAGUUCUGAGCUAUUUGGAAGAUGGAUGAGGCAAGGCACAGGACUCAAUAGUGCUUGAGUGAUUUGAAGAAGUAGAAGCCCAGAAAUCCUGCUUGGCUUAUGCUCCAACAACAUCCAACUAAAGGCUCUUCUACCUCUGAGAAAUGGAUCGUGCAUGUUAAAGGCUUUCCAUUUAUUGAGCUCUGGGGGUAGAUACAGAAUGGAUCUGGCUGCAGACACUGGGGAGAUUCUGCAAGUCACAGUUGGAUGUGUGAAAGCACAUAUAUUUGUCAUGGAACUGGAAAGGCAAUGCCUGCCAAGCAACUCAGCCCCUCCAUGGGGAUUGUCCAUCACAUUGAUAUCCAUAGGAUCACCUGGUCCCCCCACCCAGACAAACAAGGUGGGAAACAGCACAGGAGCCACAGCUGGGCUCCUAGUCUGUAUUUAUCCAGAAAAAGAAAAACCACUGAUUUCUGCCAAAGGGAUUAGGAUUUACUGUCAUAUCAGGUGAAUUCAGGUCAACAAGAAGAUGAGGCCAGUUUUAUCUGCACUGAUAAUAAAGCAUCCUCUUUGGACAACUAAAAGGAGAGAGAGUGUUACACAUUUGGUUUAACGUGACUCACACAGACAAGCUUUAAUAUCUGCAUGACUACAAACAGGAUCUCUUUUUCUGUUUUUCAAUCUAACUCUGCAAGGCUAAGAGUCUGGAAGAUGAUGGUGUCCUUAAAAUAUUAUUACUAUACCAUCAUAAAAAAAGAGGAAAUGUGAGCCUGAAAGAUAGACUUUAUUCUCAGCAUUUACAUGGCUGCUUUGCAGUCAUGGGCAAAGGGCUCACAUUUUUCUUGUCUCAGUUUACUGAACUGUGAAAUGAUAACUGCAGCUCUGCAGUCUGGGAAAUCUGAUGAUACAACCGUGCCUUCAGUUUUUCAUGCGCAGGAUGUGAAAAAGUUGAUAACGUUACUAUGACACCAUCUUUUCUACUGGCUGUGUACUCACUGCUCUGUGCUUGCAAAUAUAAGAUUCUGUCCUCUAAGGGGUGAUUAACAGCACUCGAAUUUGUAUAUUUAUGUGAUAUUUCUCCAAAGAAUGAUGUUGUGUGUCCUUUGGUACCUCAGCAAAUAGAAAAUGUAUAACUCUUCGUAUGGUUGUCCAUAGCAAAUAAAAGAACACUGUUUCCAACAGGAUAUAUUAUACUGAAGAGGAAUACUUUGUCACAAUAAAUUUAAUAAAUGCAUUGCAAUUAUGACUAUUGCUGGAAAAAGCUCAGCAAAAGUAGAACUGCAAGAGGAAUACGUGAAAAUAAUGUUGUGAAAAGUUGGCAAGCUUAUACUCAAUGGCUAGUUUUAAAAAUGAUAAAAAUCAGACAUCUAAAGCACAGAGAGCUG